AUGGCCCACAUAUCAGAUAUUAAACUGAUAAGAACAGAUACUACACUUGAUCUUAGCCAAAAGGCCGAGAAAGGUAUGAGUUGCAACCCACGCCACCCCCUCCCUCUUAUAGCCUCGCCGCCUCUCGCCCUCCCUCGCCAGGCGAUGUGGGACUAA
rnacentral:rRNA from 1 species